CGGUCAUAUUCCGUUGAAACAACUGUUCUCAUACGAUCAGCGAAGUUAAGCAAAGUCGAGUCUAGUCAUUAUUUCGAUAGGUGACCGCUUGGAAAUGCCAGGUGCUGUAAG